UACGGAGGGGGCUAGCGUUGUUCGGAAUUACUGGGCGUAAAGCGCACGUAGGCGGCUUUGUAAGUUAGAGGUGAAAGCCCGGGGCUCAACUCCGGAAUUGCCUUUAAGACUGCAUCGCUAGAAUUGUGGAGAGGAAGGCGGAAUUCUCGGUGUAGAGGUGAAAUUCGUAGAUAUCGAGAGGAACACCGGUGGCGAAGGCGGCCUUCUGGACAGAAACUGACGCUGAGACGCGAAAGCGUGGGGAGCGAACAGG
rnacentral:rRNA from 1 species